GGUCAAUGAUGUUAUGUAAAAGGUCUGACGCCCAGUUCCACUCCCCUGCUAUCCAUCGGCUCCCAACAGCCCCUGCUCUACCCCCCAGCAUGCUCUAGUUGUGCAUCGUUGGACACAGGGGCUGCUGACAUAGAGGAUAACCUCACAUCCUGUAUCUCUAAGAGACCAUGGCGUCACUGUGUUGAUGGACAUCCAACAGAACCAAUCACUAAGGGGUAUCAAGCUGUGGUACGGGGCUGGGCCGCUGAUCUCAACUUUCAAACUGAGACC
rnacentral:snoRNA from 1 species